AAGGUUACUUUCCAAAAUGUUACUGUGUUGAGGAUUUCCAUAGAUACAAGCCUCCAUCACCAUCUCCAUAGAUCCAAGCCUCAAGAUACAUUUUUCUUGGUUCAUUUGCUUGGGUCCACCUGUCAACAAUGAGCACCUAGAGCCCAUUUCUCUAUAGAAUUAAAGUCUGGUCUCUGUCCUGAACAAACUACUUACACAGACACAUCUUCUCAUGCAGCAGAGUGUCAGAGACAGUUGGUACCAACGUGCUAAAGCAUCACAUCCCUGGAUUUGCAAAAUGAAUAAAGCUACCUAUCCAUCUCCUCUAAGUUUCUAAUCUGCUCAGGAGCAGAGGUGUCCAAAGGGAUCCAGAGAGACAGGUUUUGGAGAUCUCUGGAUCAAUUAUUGGAAGUUCACAAGGAAGAUAUAUCAAAAGAUCCCAGUCAAAUGCCAAAUACUAGAGAAGUUUGGUGUUGGACCAGGAAGAUUCCUAUCGAUUCACACAAGCCUGGGGACCUGUGCUCCAGUUUAAAACUGACUUGA
rnacentral:lncRNA from 1 species